rnacentral:rRNA from 1 species
UCAAUCUCGUGCGGCUAUAUAUACCGCCGGUCCCUCUAAGAAGAUAUUUAUUGUACGCCGGUAGUGAAGACCGCUAGAUCGACGAGCGAUCUCGCGGCACCUCUUGAUACCGGUUGCACGUCUAUUUAAUAGGCUAGAGUUACGUUCGUUAC